CCUCACCAAAACAGACCGCGCACGAGUCACCCUCCCGGCCGCGCGGGACCCGCCGCUCGGCCUGAGGCCUGGCCCCCGUCCGCGGAGGCCAGGCCGCAACAGAACCCACGGCGCCGACGGCGUCAAGGAACACUGUGCCCGACUGGUGGCGCGGACGGCCCGGCCAGCCGGCGCCGGCCGCCCCCUGUGUCGCUAAGCAAUCGGAUAAAUCACACGACUCUCGGCAACGGAUAUCUCGGCUCUCGCAUCGAUGAAGAACGUAGCGAAAUGCGAUACCUGGUGUGAAUUGCAGAAUCCCGCGAACCAUCGAGUCUUUGAACGCAAGUUGCGCCCGAGGCCACCCGGCCGAGGGCACGCCUGCCUGGGCGUCACGCCAAAAGACGCUCCCCACCCCCCUCGGCGGGGCGGAGGACGCGGUGUUUGGCCCCCCGUGCCGCAGGGCGCGGAGGGCCGAAGUUCGGGCUGCCGGCGUAGCGUGCCGGGCACAGCGCAAGGUGGGCGAUCUCGCACUCUCUGGACGCAGUGCCCCGGCACGUAGCCGGCGCAGCGGCCCCACGGACCCACGGACCGGAGCGCACGUCGCUCGGACCGCGACCCCAGGUCAGGCGGGAGCACCCGCUGAGUUUAAGCAUAUAAAUAAGCGGAGGAGAAGAAACUUACGAGGAUUCCCCUAGUAACGGCGAGCGAACCGGGAGCAGCCCAGCUUGAGAAUC
rnacentral:rRNA from 1 species